rnacentral:rRNA from 1 species
AAAUUGAAGAGUUUGAUCAUGGCUCAGAUUGAACGCUGGCGGCAGGCCUAACACAUGCAAGUCGAACGGUAACAGGAAGCAGCUUGCUGCUUCGCUGACGAGUGGCGGACGGGUGAGUAAUGUCUGGGAAACUGCCUGAUGGAGGGGGAUAACUACUGGAAACGGUGGCUAAUACCGCAUAACGUCGCAAGACCAAAGAGGGGGACCUUCGGGCCUCUUGCCAUCAGAUGUGCCCAGAUGGGAUUAGCUUGUUGGUGAGGUAACGGCUCACCAAGGCGACGAUCCCUAGCUGGUCUGAGAGGAUGACCAGCCACACUGGAACUGAGACACGGUCCAGACUCCUACGGGAGGCAGCAG